UCAAGCUGAUAAGAGCGCAGGGUGGAUGCCUUGGCACUAAGAGCCGAUGAAAGACGUGAUAAGCUGCGAAAAGCUUCGGGGAGGAGCAAAUAUCCUUUGAUCCGGAGAUAUCUGAAUGGGGAAACCCACUUGAGCAAACCUCAAGUAUCCUUAAGCCAAUACAUAACUUAAGGAAGGGAACCCGGUGAACUGAAACAUCUAAGUAGCCGGAGGAAGAGAAAACAACAUGUGAUUCUGUGAGUAGCGGCGAGCGAAAACGGAAGAGCCCAAACCGGGAUGCGUGCAUCCCGGGGUUCGGACCGCAUAAUUGAUUCAACAAAUUUAGCAGAACGGUUUUGGGAAAGCCGGCCAGAGAGGGUGAAAGCCCCGUAAGCGAAAGAUGAGUUGACAUGGCGGUAUCCAGAGUAGGUCGAGACACGUGGAACCUUGACUGAACAUGCGGGGACCACCCCGUAAGGCUAAAUACUCCUUAGUGACCGAUAGCGCAUAGUACUGUGAAGGAACGGUGAAAAGGACCCCGGGAGGGGAGUGAAACAGAACCUGAAACCAUAUGUUUACAAGCUGUGGAAGAGCUUUAUAUGCUCAACCGCGUACUUUUUGUAGAACGGUCCGGCGAGUUGCGCUGGCUGGCGAGGUUAAGCACCAAAGGUGUGGAGCCGAAGGGAAACCAAGUCUUAAUAGGGCGAAUGAGUCAGUCGGAGCAGACCCGAAACCGGGUGAUCUAUCCAUGUCCAGGUUGAAGUUGCCGUAAAAGGCAAUGGAGGACCGAACCCACAUCCGUUGAAAAGGGUGGGGAUGAGGUGUGGAUAGGGGAGAAAUUCCAAUCGAACCCGGAGAUAGCUGGUUCUCCUCGAAAUAGCUUUAGGGCUAGCCUUGGUAGAGAUUUGCGGAGGUAGAGCACUGAAUUUCCUAGGGGGCGUCAAAGCCUACCGAAGAAUAUCAAACUCCGAAUGCCGUGUAAUUGCUUACCAGGAGUCAGACUGCACGAGAUAAGUUGGGCAGUCAAAAGGGAAAGAGCCCAGACCUUCAGUUAAGGUCCCAAAGUGUGCGUUAAGUGGAAAAGGAUGUGGGAUUUCGAAGACAACCAGGAUGUUGGCUCAGAAGCAGCCAUUCAUUCAAAGAGUGCGUAAUAGCUCACUGGUCGAGAGGUCCUGCGCCGAAAAUGUCCGGGGCUGAAACGCACCACCGAAACUAAGGGAUCCGAAAGGAUCGGUAGAGGAGCAUUGCAUGCGGGAUGAAGCAGUACCGUAAGGAGCUGUGGACUGCAUGGAAGAGAGAAUGCCGGAAUGAGUAGCGAGAUAGAGGUGAGAAUCCUCUAGGCCGAAUAUCCAAGGUUUCCAGGGUAAAGCUGAUCUGCCCUGGGUAAGUCGGGGCCUAAGGUGAGGACGAGAGUCGUAGCCGAUGGACAACAGGUGGAGAUUCCUGUACUAUGAUAUGACAGAACUGUGGGGACACGUGCAGAGAGCGGAAGCCGGGAAUGGGAUCCCGGUGCAAGCGAGGUACCAGCCGCAUUGGAAAAACCGUGCGGCAAUGGGAAGACGUGAUGCGGAGUGAAGUUUAGUAAUGAAGUCCGUGAGCUGUGCGUCAAGAAAAGCCGCUAUUGUUCAUACCAUACCCGUACCGUAAACCGACACAGGUGGAUGAGGAGAGAAUCCUAAGGCCGGCGGAAGAAGCAUUGUCAAGGAACUCGGCAAAAUGACCCCGUAACUUCGGGAGAAGGGGUGCCUGCGAGAGCAGGCCGCAGAGAAUAGGCUCAAGCAACUGUUUAGCAAAAACACAGGUCUAUGCGAAACCGAAAGGUGAGGUAUAUGGGCUGACGCCUGCCCGGUGCUGGAAGGUUAAGAGGAGAGGUUAGCGCAAGCGAAGCUUUGAAUUUAAGCCCCAGUAAACGGCGGCCGUAACUAUAACGGUCCUAAGGUAGCGAAAUUCCUUGUCGGGUAAGUUCCGACCCGC
rnacentral:rRNA from 1 species